AUUGAACGCUGGCGGCAUGCCUUACACAUGCAAGUCGAACGGCAGCACGGGAGCAAUCCUGGUGGCGAGUGGCGAACGGGUGAGUAAUACAUCGGAACGUGCCCUGUAGUGGGGGAUAACCGGCGAAAGACCGGACUAAUACCGCAUGAGACCUGAGGGUGAAAGCGGGGAGUCGCAAGACCUCGCGCUAUGGGAGCGGCCGAUGUCAGAUUAGCUAGNGGUGGGGUAAAGGCCUACCAAGGCGACGAUCUGUAGCUGGUCUGAGAGGACGACCAGCCACACUGGGACUGAGACACGGCCCAGACUCCUACGGGAGGCAGCAGUGGGGAAUUUUGGACAAUGGGCGCAAGCCUGAUCCAGCCAUGCCGCGUGC
rnacentral:rRNA from 1 species